CCGGUUCCGACGCCCUACCCCCUCUCGUAGCCCUCGUAUAGCCCACUCUCUCCAGAUCUCGCUCGUCUCCCCUGGUCCCGCCUCGCCGUCGGUAACGAUGAACCGCCACCGCCGUGGCAUCUUCGACGGCCUCCCGAUUCCGGCCGACAAAUCUUACCUGAAGGAAGGGCUGUCGCGGAUCGACGAGGGAUGGGCCGCGGCGCGGUUCGACUCGCUGCCGCACGUCGUGCACAUCCUCACCUCGAAGGACCGCGAUGGCGAGAUCCAGUUCCUCAAGGAGCAGAGCGACCUCAUCGAGGACGUCGUUGACGAGGUCGUCCACGCGUACCACCAUGGUUUCAACAAGGCCAUCCAGAACUACUCCCAGAUCCUGCGGCUGUUCAGCGAGUCCGCCGAGAGCAUCACCGGCCUCAAGGGGGAGAUGUCAGAGGCCAAAAAGCUGCUUGGGAGGAAGAAUCAGCACCUUGGGCAGCUAUGGUACAGGUCCCUCACGCUGCGCCACGUGAUCUCCCUGCUGGAUCAGGUUGAGGAUGUUGCCAAGGUUCCUGCUCGGAUUGAAAACUUGAUGGCAGAGAAGCAGCUAUACGCCGCAGUGCAGUUGCAUGUUCAGUCAAUGCUGAUGCUAGAGCGGGAAGGCCUUCAAGCGGUAGGUGCUCUUCAAGAUGUUCGAUCUGAUCUAACAAAGCUGCGUGGUGCACUGUUCUACAAAAUUUUGGAAGAGCUGCAUUGCCACCUAUACAACAAUGGUGAAUAUAGCUUGGUGACUUUAAGCAUGGUUGACAGUGAGGACAUACCAACUUCUGGAGCCACUGGUCGCUUAGUAAACAGCAUGCAGCCUCUGUCCAGGAGAACAAUGUCUAUUAAAGGUGAAAAUCACUUUAGUGGACCAGCUACUGCAGAUGGGAUAACAAAAACUAGUUCUGUUGGAUGUUCUUCAUUUGAUGGCCCAGAUGAUGAUAGUAGCUUAGGUGGUGGGUGUGGUCGGAAGGAUUCCAAAAGUUUCUCUUGUGAAAUUCCGAUUUUCCUUUCUUGCGCUACACCAGACGAGUUCCUUGAAUCAAUGAGAAAGGCAGAUGCUCCCCUCAAUGUGAAAUACUUAAGAACAUUGGUGCAAUGCUUAUCCAUGCUUCAAAAGGUUGCAGCUGCUGGAGCUGUGAUAUGCCAAAGAGUUCGCCCGACAAUUCAUGAUGUUAUCACUUCAAAGAUUAAAUCAUAUGCUAGAGAGGCUUCAAAGUCCAAUAUAGAUAAAGUUGCAAAAAGAACGGCAUCGGAUGUGUCACAUUCACAUGGAGCUGUCACCCGUUACCAACUACCUAAACAGAAAAAGAAGAAUGAGGCAUCGACAUUGGCAACACAACUUGUUGCUAGUCCCAUCUCUCCAGUUAUGGCACCCACAGGAGAUGCUCAGCAUGCAGCUAGUCAGCUUCUUGGUUCAAUAUUUGAGUGUCUAGUAGGCAUACUUGAGAACCAUAUUACUGUUGGAGAGCUUCUUGAACAAAAAUCAUCAACUGACGUUGACAGUGUAAACACACCUCAUGUGGCAAAUGGGGACACAAGCUGGAAUCCAGAUUCUGAAUACUCCCAACCUACUGGUGGUUUUAGUGUUGCAUUCUCUCUGUCAGUUGUUCAGAGCGAGUGCCAGCAACUUCUGUGUGAAAUUUUGCGGGCAACUCCAGAAGCUGCUACUGCAGAUGCAGCUGUUCAGACAGCUAGGCUUGCAAAUAAGGACCCAGUGAAGGAAAAGAGGGAUGGAUCAGAAGGCCUUUCUUUUGCUUUUCGCGUUACAGAUGCAGCAAUCUCUGUGCAAAAUGAAGGUCAAGGAUGGAGAAGAAACCCAGCUGUACCCCAAGAAGGGUAUGGAACAGCAAGCAUCAUACCUGAUCAAGGGAUUUUCCUAGCUGCAUCAGUUUACCGUCCUGUCUUUGAGUUUAUGAAUAAAAUAGGAUUGAUGCUUCCUCGAAAGUAUUCACAACUUGGGAAUGAUGGCUUAUUGGCUUUUGUGAACAACUUCUUGAAGGAGCACUUCUUGCCAGCAAUAUUUGUAGACUAUAGAAAAUGUGUUCAGCAGGCUAUAUCUAGUCCAGCAGCAUUUAGACCACGUGUAAAUGCAACCUCAGUAUAUAGCUCACUAGUGGAGAAUGGCCGCCCUGUACUACAAGGGCUUCUGGCUGUUGAUAUAAUUGCCAAAGAGGUUCUUGGUUGGGUUCAAUUGAUGCCGAUCUAUGCUGCUGAGCUUGUUGAGUAUGUUCGCACCUUUCUGGAACGUACACACGAAAGAUGCCGGGCAUCAUAUAUGGAGGCUGUUCUUGAGAAACAAAGUUAUAUUCUCCUCUCACGGAGUGAUGUUGAAAGUUUAAUGCGCCUGGACCCUGCAAAUGCUUCUUUGCAAAAGUCUUUCGGUCAACUUGAUAACGACAUUCCAGAUGCAGGAAUUGAAGUGGAGAUUGAACUAAGUGACCUCCUAUUGGAUAUGUGCCCGAUAAAACAGGAAAACUUGAUCCAUGAUGACCAGAAAUUGAUAUUGCUGGCAUCUCUUAGCGACUCCUUAGAAUAUUUAGCAGAUUCAGUUGAAAGGCUUGGUGAGUCAUUUAUAAGUCCAUCCACCAUCUCAGAAAACAAAAGUGACAUACACCAAAGUCACCGUACUCGCACAACUAGUGCAAUUCCGAAAAGCCUUGCGUCUCUUGCUAAUGAGUACAGAAGGCUAGCAACCGAUUGUGUUAGAGUCUUGAGAUUGGAAAUGCAGUUGGAGACAAUAUAUCACAUGCAGGAAAUGACAAAAAGAGAAUAUGUAGAAGAUCAAGACGCUGAAGAUCCUGAUGACUUCAUCAUCUCUCUUACAACUCAGAUUGCACGUAGGGAUGAAGAAAUGGCUCCUUACAUCGCAGAAUCGAAAAGGAACUAUGUAUUUGGUGGGAUUUCUAGUGUUGCUGCUAAUGCAUCAAUAAAGGCACUCGCACUAAUGAAGUCCAUCAACCUGUUGGGAGUUCAACAAAUAUGCAGAAACUCGAUAGCACUAGAACAGGCACUUGCAGCCAUACCUUCCAUUGAUAGUGAGGCAGUCCAACAGAGAUUAGAUCGUGUUCGGACAUUCUAUGAGCUACUAAACCUGCCUUUCGAGUCUUUGCUUGGGUUCAUUGCUGAACAGGAAUAUUUUUUUUCUGCAAAAGAAUACUUGAGCAUACUAAAGGUCAAUGUACCUGGUAGAGAGAUACCAAUGGAUGCUGAACGACGUAUCUCACAGAUUUUGAGUCAUUAAAUUGAAUUGGGCAAGAUGAUUUUAGCUUGUAGGUAAUGUGUUAUUUGUUGUCUCAUUCACUGUAAAUUUGUAGUGCUUUGACUGGAACGCUCAUUCUUGAUUGUUGUAAAUGUGUAAUCUUUUGGACGUAAUUUUAAUAAAAUUCUCAGAUUCAUGUGUU
rnacentral:rRNA from 1 species